CUGAGACACCGCCUGGCUCCGUGACUCCUGGGCAGGUGGUGUCAUCCUGGUUUCCUUGUCUUUAAAAUAGGGAUCAUGCCAUCUGCUGUAUAUACCGCCAGGCUGUUCAGGAAUUUUUU
ensembl:miRNA